UUUUUUUUUUUUUUUUUUUUUUGGAAAGCCCAAAAGCAAGGUCCCUUCCUUCAGGUGUGUAUAUAAGUUACUGUACUGUGUGGGAGGGUCACGAUCUCACUAGGUGCAGAAGAUUCCCCAGGAUUAACCCCUCCUCUCCCUACCCCUUCUGCAACUUGUUGAGGAUUUUAUACACACACGCGCGCAGGCACGGGCACACGGGCACACACACGCACACACACACAACACGGACGGGAGAGCAAGGAGAAAGCGAGCUCCGCGGAGUCCGGCUGCCCCCCGACGCCGUUGUGAUUGGAUGGUCUUUUCAUGGAGAGGGGACGUCUCAAGUCGAAGUCACGAUUUCUCCUCAGUUUGGAACCAUCUGUGACUGGAGCCAUGACGCAGCCAGAGCACAUUACUCACUUUUACAGUCACGACUUGGAAAUCCGUGCAGUUUCCAACCAAAAUUACACCGCCACCAUUGAAUUAUUUAAUAGGAUCCAGUUAAGGAUUAGAGCCAUUGCAUGCGGUCUUGGCCAGGAGGUGCUCUCACCCCAGCCCAGUGUACUGUGCUAUACUGAUGUUCAUGGCUGCAUCAUGCCAUUGUCUGCAGGAUCCGCAAUUGUUGCUGGGCUUUGUGUGGUAGGUGCACCAUUUUCUAAGCUUGCUUUUACUGAGAGUCUAUGGCUAAACGUGCUCCGAGGGAAGCUCCUUCUUUGGCUAUUGUCUGCCUCGUGCGUUUUCCAUCCUUUGCAGGUCUUAGUCUGCUGCUAAGCCCCCUUCCACGGCGGUUUCGGAGGGGAUACCAUUGUCCGGGAUAACGCGGUGGUGCAUGUGAGUGCCAGACGGUGUUUCCUUGUCUCUUUUAAUGCAGUCUGAUGACAUGCCUUUGCUAGCCGGAAUGCCUGCGAACCUGCAUGCUCGUAGCCUAGCGAGAACUUCCCCGGCUCUCAGAAGCAGUGAGGGGGUGACGGGUGGUUGCAGCACCGAGGUAACCCUACAUAGCUACUCCGUACACACCACAACAGUCCCCCACUACUUCGCCUCUAAUUCAGUCAUUCCACCAACUCCUCUGGUGAGGGUAUGACUAAAGACGCGAAGGACGGGCAAUAAUAAAAACAGACGCUCGAACACA